UACGGAGGGUGCAAGCGUUGUCCGGAUUUAUUGGGUUUAAAGGGUGCGUAGGCGGCUAAUUAAGUCAGCGGUGAAAUUCCAGAGCUCAACUCUGUGAACUGCCAUUGAUACUGGUUGGCUUGAGUACAGAUGAGGUAGGCGGAAUUGACAGUGUAGCGGUGAAAUGCUUAGAUAUUGUCAAGAACACCUAUUGCGAAGGCAGCUUACUAAACUGUAACUGACGCUGAGGCACGAAAGCGUGGGGAGCAAACAGG
rnacentral:rRNA from 1 species